CGGAGGAGCAUGUGGUUUAAUUCGAUGAUACGCGAGGAACCUUACCUGGGCUUGAACGUGUGAUGCAAUACCGGGAAACCGGUAGUCCUUCGGGCGUCAUGCGAGGUGCUGCAUGGUUGUCGUCAGCUCGUGCCGUGAGGUGUUAGGUUAAGUCCUGUAACGAGCGCAACCCCUAUACUUAGUUACCAGCACGUAAUGGUGGGGACCCUAGGUAAACCGCCUGCGCAAGCAGAGAGGAAGGUGGGAUGACGUCAAAUCAGCACGGCCCUUACGUCCAGGGCCACACACGUGCUACAAUGGCCGAUACAGAGGGCAGCUACCUGGUGACAGGAUGCAAAUCUCGAAAGUCGGUCUCAGUUCGGAUCGGAGUCUGCAACUCGACUCCGUGAAGUUGGAUUCGCUAGUAAUCGCGCAUCAGCCAUGGCGCGGUGAAUACGUUCCCGGGCCUU
rnacentral:rRNA from 1 species